CACGUAGGGACCGAGCGUUGUCCGGAUUCAUUGGGCGUAAAGAGCUCGUAGGCGGCCGCUCAAGUCGAAUGUGAAAACUCGAGGCUCAACCUCGAGCCUGCAUUCGAUACUGGGUGGCUAGAGUCUGGUAGGGGGAUCUGGAAUUCCUGGUGUAGCGGUGGAAUGCGCAGAUAUCAGGAGGAACACCGGUGGCGAAGGCGGGAUCCUGGGCCAGUACUGACGCUGAGGAGCGAAAGCCAGGGGAGCAAACGGG
rnacentral:rRNA from 1 species